CUUCCUCGAGCCUCGCUGCUUCCUCUUUGCUAAGCCGAGCUGCUAAUCCGUGAAACGCAGUCUGGUAAGUGUAGAGUAUUCUGUUACCUUCUUCUUCAUGUGAUUUGGGAUCUGUUACAGAGUCUAUCUUGGAAGAGUACCAUUGUAGGUGAUUAGUGUAAGGUGAAGGCAUGGCGGAUUUGUCCAUGUGGACAACAUAAGUCUUCUUCUGACCAGUUUCUGCAUGUAGAGACAUGAGAUUGAGGGAUAAGAUGAUGAAAAGAAAACAUUUCUGAAGUGGGUUUUUGCCAGCCAUUGUUAGAAGAAGCUCAAGGAUUAUCUCUCUCUCUCUUUUUUUUUGGGAGAAGGAGAGAUAGAAGAGUCGUUGUUACUUGGAGGAAGUAAUAAAGGUGAAGCAAGUAAGAAUCAUAGAUAAUACAUGACACUCAAAUGGAAUUAAUGAUAGAAACGGACUAACUAAACAUACAAAUGAUUAAUUUGAAUACACUUCCAAACUAUAAGUUAUGUUAUUUGUAAAUUCUAAUUUAUGUAUGUUACUCCAGUUUUUUUAUUUCGAAAUUUAGAAAUAAGAGAAGGAUUAAAUUAUUUGCUGUCUUACUAAACUUUUUUUAUAUACAUUGGAGAACUACGAUUUAAAAUUAAAAUAUGUUUUACCUCUAAAUUUACAAUUUAAAUGGUUUAUAAAUGUGAAAUGCUUGCAAUUCCUUAGUGAAAGUAAUCUCUUUUGGCAACACCUUUGAUGUAUCCACCUUAACAAAAACUUUAGCUUCCUCCAAGUUGGUACACGCAAUGGUUUCCGGUUGGAGUUUCACCUCACCGACUUUUGCGAUGUGAGGCGCUUGAUCCAAAAACUUUCCUACUACGAAAUAUUCUCAUAACGGAGUUGAAUUCGCAAUAAUCUCAUCUUGAAUUUCCAACUUGUUUCUUCAACGAUUUCUUAUCUUGCGCAACAUCAACCCAGCUCUCCGUUUUCUUCGUUACUCCAGCCCGAUCUGUAACCACAUCACCCUCCAGAAUCUCCGUAAUCACCUUAACACCCUUCGGAGGAUCCGACAAAUCCGGCGGAAUAGCCAGAUCCAUCGAUCGAAACCCUGUCACUUGUCGCACUCAAAAUCGCCAAGAAAACCAGCCUUUUACAAAUCGACCUAAUUACAUACCAACCAUCACUUUAUAUAUGUGUAUGUAAUGAGAUCAACCCUUCUGGAGUGGGCCUGGGUGGACUUGGCUCAAGACGAUUUGCUACUGUGCUGCCCAUGAAGCUUUCUCGUAAACCCAAGCUUCACACCAUGUUUUCAAAAUUUUUCUACGUUUCAACAUGUCCCAAAAAGAUAUUUUGGUGUCGAUUGAAGUCAGCUUUGUCGGUCAUAAUGUCUCCCAAACAGUCAGUUUUUGUGGACGAAAGAUUUAUUUCAGACAACAUUCUCACUGCACAUGAAAAGAUACAUAACAUGCGAAUAAACUAAUCAAUCUCCAAAUAAUUCAUGGUGAUCAGAUAUGUCAAUAACAUAUGACAGGUUUGGAUUGUCAUAUCUGAGAAAAUUGUUGGUAGCAGUGGGUUUCAUCAAAGAUGUAUUGAAUUGGUGCUGUUAUGUAUCAUGUCAGACACUUGCUCAGUUUUGAUCAAUGAUCAAUCGUUAGAUAGAUUUGUGUAGGCGAGAGGACUGAGGUGGGGGUAUACAAAGCAAUUCCUCUUCAUUCUAUUUAUACAAGGUCUUGGAAAAUGGAAUUGUAGAAUGUGAACGAGUUAUAUAAAAGCAUUCGCAUUCUUUUUGUGCAGGAGUCUGAUGAAAACACGAUAUUUUAUUUAAAAAGAUAGCUUAUGCAAGAACAUGAACUAAAACUACUGACAAAGUUUUUUUAAAGCAUUGCUUCUAGAGAAGAGCUCUCCCUUACAUAAAGAAAAUAUUAUUUGUGAAACUAAAACAUUAGAGUUUCUUGAAUAACGGUUUGGCCUCUCUUCUACAGAGGUGGCAACCAUGUGAUUAUAACCGGGCUACGAACCUUAUGCGUCGCACUCUUCCACAAAAGACCACCAAACUCAGGCCUCUUCAUCCGCAGCUUCGUCCUGAAAGUAACAGUGUAGGAAAGCUUCUGGUGCUUGGUAGUGAAGUUGAGUGUCUUGGGCUGGACUGUGACGGUUGCGCCUUUGAAAGGAGAGACAGAGACCUUGUAGCUAGAAACGUGAGGACCAACGUUGGUCACGGUUCUUCUAAGUGUCAUAGCUUUAACAUGUGUGUUCUCUGGGAACAAAGCUGAGAUCGCCGGGUAGUUCAAGUUUCCAGGGUUAUUACCGGCAAGACUGUGUCUGCAAGAUCUGUUUGAAUGCUUUGUGAAGACCUUGAGCUGUGAAGGACUCAACUCCUGAGUGCAUAGGAAAUCAAAAUACUCCUGAGGUCCAAUGUCGUAGACUAGACCAGGAUCUAUAGCUUUCAGAGGAUCUAUAUGUCCAGCACCGUGAUCAUAAGGCGACGAAGGUUCUGCUCCUGCUGCAUCCGUAAGAGGCUCAAGCAUGUUGUCGUGAACGUAAGCGGUUGUCAUGAGAGCUGAUUUGACCGCUGCAGGGCUCCAAUCUGGAUGCCUUGAUCUGAUUAAAGCAGCCACGCCGCUCACGUGAGGACAUGACAUGGAAGUUCCCGACAGUAUAUUGAACUUAACCCUCCUUUUGUCAGACGACAAACUAGACGGCGCCAUGUCUCCAGACCAAGCUGCGAGAAUGUUGACUCCCGGAGCUAGCAAGUCUGGUUUCAAGAUCUCCAGGGAGAGAAAGUUCGGUCCUCUCGAAGAGAAUGCUGCUACAACAGGAGACGGUUUGAUCCCAACUCUUGUCCCAAGAAUCUCCAAACUCGCUGUAGCUCUUUUACUCGUCAUCGCAUACUCCUUGAUCACUUUACCUUCCUUCUCUCCUACCGCAACAGCUGGUAGCAAAUGACAAUCUGCCACAAGCUCUUCACCGUUCGUCGCGGUGUUGGUCAGUAUCAUCCCAACACCUCCUGCUCUUUUCACAACCUGGCCCUUCUGGACACGUGGAGUAACACCACGGUCGCAUAUCACGAUUUUCCCUGCUACGUUGUGCUGGUCCAAAGCACCGUCUAGACAGAACGACGUCGGAUCAGGACUACUUGCGUUCCUUCCUAAGUAAACAAGAGGAUACUGUUUUCCCGGAGACAAAACCGUUCUGCCUUUGUAAAGAGAAACUCCUUUGAAGACUCUCCUAGUUCCUAGCCUCACCGUGGCUGGAAAGUCUCUGUCCAUGGUACUUGCCCCAACCGUUGUGAUCCACGGAGAAACAUUCGUGAGGCUGAUCGGAUCAGGUCCUCCGUUACCUGCCGAACACGAGACGAACACUCCCAUCUCCAUUGCUCCAAACGUUGCUAUAGCCAAACUGUCACGGGAGUAAGUCGAGAUCCCACCGCCUAAGGAUAUAGAUAGAACAUGGACUCCAUCAGCUACGGCUUGAUCAACCGCUGAUAAGAUGUCCGAGCUGAAACAUCCACCAACCCAACAGACUUUGUAAGCAGCCACUCGUGCCUUUGGAGCCAUCCCUCGAGCCGUUCCAUAAGCAAAUCCGAGAAGAUUUGCUCCUCUGACAGGCGAGCCAGCUACUGUUGCUCCAGUGUGCGUCCCGUGACCGUCUUUGUCUCUUGGUGAUCUGUACUCAAGCUCCUGGUCGAUCUUCCCCGUCGCAGCUUCGUAUCCUCUGUAGAAAACUCUAGCACCGACAAUCUUUCUGUUGCAGUUAUGUUUCAAGAACCCUCUUCCGGUUUCGCAGACACCUCUCCAAGUAGAUGGGACAGGAGACAUGCCUGUGUCGUUGAAGCUCUCACUCUCGGGCCAUAUCCCAGUGUCUAAGACACCAACGACCACAUCAUGGUCGGUGACUCUCUCAGCCCAAACUCUCUCACUCUCUUGCCUCUCUAACCCGAGAAACCUGGGACUUCUUGUGGUGUGGAGCUCGUACCUUGUCUCCGGAAUCACAGCUACAACGCCAGGCUCUUCCUCGAGCCUCGCUGCUUCCUCUUUGCUAAGCCGAGCUGCUAAUCCGUGAAACGCAGUCUGGUAAGUGUAGAGUAUUCUGUUACCUUCUUCUUCAUGUGAUUUGGGAUCUGUUACAGAGUCUAUCUUGGAAGAGUACCAUUGUAGGUGAUUAGUGUAAGGUGAAGGCAUGGCGGAUUUGUCCAUGUGGACAACAUAAGUCUUCUUCUGACCAGUUUCUGCAUGUAGAGACAUGAGAUUGAGGGAUAAGAUGAUGAAAAGAAAACAUUUCUGAAGUGGGUUUUUGCCAGCCAUUGU
rnacentral:lncRNA from 1 species